AUUGAACGCUGGCGGCAGGCCUAACACAUGCAAGUCGAGCGAGCGGCGGACGGGUGAGUAAUGUAUGGGGACUGCCCGAUAGAGGGGGAUAACUACUGGAAACGGUGGCUAAUACCGCAUACUAUCGGAUAACCCAUAUGGGAUUAGCUAGUAGGUGGGGUAAAGGCUCACCUGGGCGACGAUCUCUAGCUGGUCUGAGAGGAUGAUCACCCACACUGGGACUAGGAAACGGCCAAGCCUCCUAGGGAGGCAGCGGUGGGGAAUAUUGCACAAUGGGGGCAAGCCGGUUGCAGCCAUGCCGCGUGUAUGAAGAAGGCCUUAGGGUGUUAAAGUACUUUCAGCGGGGAGGCGUUCCCCGAAGAAGAAGCACCGGCUAACUCCGUGCCAGCAGCCGCGGUAUAC
rnacentral:rRNA from 1 species